rnacentral:rRNA from 1 species
GACGAACCGUCCAAACGUUAUUCGGAAUUACUGGGCUUAAAGGGUGCGUAGGCUGCGCCGUAAGUCAGGUGUGAAAUCCCUCGGCUCAACCGAGGAACUGCGCUUGAUACUGCGGUGCUAGAGGGAGACAGAGGUGAGCGGAACUGAUGGUGGAGCGGUGAAAUGCGUUGAUAUCAUCAGGAACACCGGUGGCGAAAGCGGCUCGCUGGGUCUCUUCUGACGCUGAGGCACGAAAGCUAGGGUAGCGAACGGG